rnacentral:lncRNA from 1 species
UGCAUCAACUUCGAUGACGAAAGGGAGUUGGGGGUCUGGGUGGAGCAAGAUGGGAGCCAUGGUGAAGAGCCGUUUGAGUUUGAGGAAUGCCUACUGAGCCUGGGGUUCCAUCAGAGUUGUGUUGGUUUAUCCUUAACGAAUGAAACAACGAUAGAAAUUAGCAAACCCAAGGAAUUGUUGUAGGUGACGGACGGUGGUGGGCACAGGCCAAUCGGUGACUGCUGUUGUUUUGACGGGAUCCAUGGCGAUUCCUUGGGGACUGAUGUGGAAACCCAGGAAGGGUACAUCAUUGACUAGUGCCUGGAAGGCGGCUGGGCUAUUGGAAUCAGAUGUGUCUAAACACAUGUGUCUCCAGUCUAGUCACCCCACCACCUGCUCCCUGGAUCCAAUCCCCUCACACCUCCUUCAGUCCAUACAGCCCACCAUAUUACCUGCUCUGACACACGUCUUAAACUCCUCACUCACAACAGGAACAUUUCCCACUGCUUUCAAACAGGCUGUCAUUGCUCCCCUGCUCAAAAAACCCACAUUAAACCCGUCUCUAUCGGAUAGCUACCGCCCAGUCUCCAACCUUCCUUUUCUAUCAAAAAUUCUUGAAAGAGCAGUCCUGGCUCAACCUUCCUCAUUUCUCCAUGAGCAUGAUCUUCUCGACCCUUUUCAGUCUGGUUUCAGGAAAGGGCAUUCAACUGAAACCUCCCUCCUUGCAAUGAUGGAUGACCUUCGUGCUGCAAGAGCUGCCCGCAGAUCAUCUGUCCUUCUCCUACUUGAUCUAUCUGCUGCCUUCGACAAAGUUAACCAUGAAAUUCUUCUCACCACACUCUCUGAUUCAGGAGUUACAGGAACCGCACUAGAUUGGUUCACCUCUUAUCUUCACGACAGGUCCUUCAAGGUAUCAUGGGGAGGUGAGACAUCUGUCCUCUCUAGAUUAACCACAGGGGUUCCAGGGCUAUCACUCUUAUGCUGAUGACACCCAGCUAUAUCUGUCAUUCCCACCAGAAGAUGCUACUAUAGCAACAAAAAAAUUGAGCCUCCAGCUCAAUCUAUCAAAAACCGAGAUUCUGAUCUUUCCG